AGGCUGCAACUCGCCUACAUGAAGUCGGAAUCGCUAGUAAUCGCGAAUCAGAAUGUCGCGGUGAAUACGUUCCCGGGUCUUGUACACACCGCCCGUCAAACCAUGAGAGUUGGCAACACCCGAAGUCGGUAGUCUAACCGCAAGGAGGACGCCGCCGAAGGUGGGGUUGAUGAUUAGGGUUAAGUCGUAACAAGGUAGC
rnacentral:rRNA from 1 species